UACGUAGGGGGCUAGCGUUGUCCGGAAUCAUUGGGCGUAAAGCGCGUGUAGGCGGUCCGGUAAGUCCGCUGUGAAAGUCGAGGGCUCAACCCUCGAAUGCCGGUGGAUACUGUCGGGCUAGAGUACGGAAGAGGCGAGUGGAAUUCCUGGUGUAGCGGUGAAAUGCGCAGAUAUCAGGAGGAGCACCGGUGGCGAAGGCGGGUCUCUGGGCAGUAACUGACGCUGAGGAGCGAAAGCGUGGGGAGCGAACAGG
rnacentral:rRNA from 1 species